rnacentral:rRNA from 1 species
CGCGCAGGCGGUUCUUCAAGUCAGAGGUGAAAGCCCAGAGCUCAACUCUGGAAUGGCCUUUGAGACUAGAGAACUAGGGUACGGGAGAGGUGAGUGGAAUUCCGAGUGUAGAGGUGAAAUUCGUAGAUAUUCGGAAGAACACCAGUGGCGAAGGCGGCUCACUGGCCCGUUACCGACGCUCAGGCGCGACAGCUGGGGAGCAAACA